rnacentral:rRNA from 1 species
UACGAAGGGGGCUAGCGUUGCUCGGAAUCACUGGGCGUAAAGGGCGCGUAGGCGGGUCUUUUAAGUCAGGGGUGAAAUCCUGGAGCUCAACUCCAGAACUGCCUUUGAUACUGAAGAUCUUGAGUUCGGGAGAGGUGAGUGGAACUGCGAGUGUAGAGGUGAAAUUCGUAGAUAUUCGCAAGAACACCAGUGGCGAAGGCGGCUCACUGGCCCGAUACUGACGCUGAGGCACGAAAGCGUGGGGAGCAAACAGG